AGGGAAGAGGAGUGCAAAUCUCCCGCUGCCCCGCAGCCGUGAUGGGCACGAAAGACCGGUGCAAGCCACUGUCAUGAGUCAUAUCAUGAUGGGAAGGCGGGCAAGCAGGUUCGAUCCCAAAGCCGGAAGACCU
rfam:Nitrospirae bacterium GWC2_57_9 gwc2_scaffold_3133, whole genome shotgun sequence.